GCUAGAUUGUUCGUCUCAGUCGAGCUACGACUCUUGCACGCACCCUCAACGUUCCAAACUGUUAUAUAUGAUGAACAAAUGGAGUCCUGAUGGAAAUUCCAAUGAUUCUCGACGUUUGAAUCAUCACAAUCAUCACAAACAGACUACGUACUAAUCUGUUGUGUUUGUUUCUUGGUGUCAUUUGUUGGGUUAUGUUUGGCCGAGAGAAAAAAGGGGUUUCUUGGGUGAAUAAUGGAGCGGUCCAGUCGCACCAGUGAAGAAGUUUGCCUUCGGACCCAUCACUUGAAUGGAUCACUCUUGGAAUCGUAUCGAAGGAAACGUUGAAUGAUGGGUUCCUGCACUUCUCUAUUUCCCCUGUCAACAUUAAUUUUGUUGGUGCGAUUAGCGUUUUGUGAGAAUUAUUUACCAAAAUUUGGUAUUUGUAGUUUGAUUGUGGCUGUUAGGGUUGUGGGGAAGAGGAAGUGAAUCGUACCCGGAGCGACCCGAUUAGCCCUUCGUCUUUUCAUUAUCGGCAAAACAACCUAAAGUGAUCAAGGAUUUCCAGAAGCAGUCUGCACAUUGGACAUGAUGUUUAGAGAUAGAUAUGAUGUCAGAGGCAAUUGAUGGAACAGUUGGCAAAGGCAAAUCUGAAGAAGAAACUGAAAAUCCCACUGACCAGGUCGGAGAGAGAGUGCUUAUACGGGAAUCUUGGGGCAAGUGAUAACUCUCAACAUAGCUGACUACAUAACCUUACCAAGGUCCACAGUCGGGUGAAAGGCAAGUGGAGUAAAGGAUCAAUGGAAUUGGCGAAAGAGGAUGGAAACCCUUCAUUACGAGUCGGAGAAGUUAGAUCCGAAGAAUUUUUAAACUGAGAUUAAGAUUCAAUCCUUGAGAUAUAUUUAAGAAACAAUGUAUGCAAACAUAGACACAGACAACAGUGGAACAAUCACAUAUGAAGAACUGAAGUAAGGACUAUCCAAAUUUGGAUCUAGACUCACAGAGGCAGAAUUGAAGGAGCUCAUGAAUGCUGAAUGCUGGACGGGCUAAUCUGACUGCAUCGAGUUCAUUACUGAAACAUUGCUUGAAAGUAUUGAGAAUCUUCACAAAACUGUCCAGAAUUUGACAAAGACAGUAACGGAUUGUGCAGAUGCAUUUCAAUAGACGAAUAAGAAGCUGUACUGGAGGACUAUGGAAUGGGAAAUGAUGCAACAAUCAAAGAGGUUCCCUCAGAUGACAAUUCAUCUAACGUGAGCUUAAAAAAAUUUCAUCAUCAUCUCUGGGUGCCGUUUUUGAUCAAUGUCUUUCUCCAGUUAAGAGUGCUUCUCACGGCAGAGCUUCACUUUGAUUGAAGAGCUCUUACAUGGGCUGUUAACAGAAGGUUACUGAUAUGCUGAGAGAAUAGAAUGACUCAAUGAAUCCAAGACGGAAAUUGAACUCCUCACUAGAAUACCAAACACUUGGUGUAUUUGAUAAAAAAAAUGUAAUUAAUUUUUCUGUGUGUGUUGUCGUAUUAUUUACAGAAAAUGAAAAGUUAUAUAAGUAGGAAAA